AGAAGGGGGCCUCGCUGCUCCUGUACCACCGCGCCUCGGAGGACUGGUGGGAGGGCCGGCACAACGGCGUGGAUGGACUCAUCCCCCAUCAGUACAUAGUUGUACAGGACAUGGAUGAUGCCUUCUCCGACAGCCUGAGCCAGAAGGCUGACAGCGAGGCCAGCAGUGGGCCAUUGCUGGAUGACAAGGCCUCUUCCAAAAACGACCUCCAGUCCCCCACGGAGCACAUCUCGGAUUACGGCUUUGGGGGGGUGAUGGGCCGGUAGGAUGUGCGGAUUCAUUUUUUCCCUGCUAGUGUCAAUCCUGUUCAUGUCUGAUUUGGGAGAAGCACAAGGGCAGAGAGGAGAGAAGGAGCCUACUGCAGCCCCCUGUUCCCCACAAAAUGAAAUGGGCACACUGGGCGGGCUGGCUGUCAUUGGCCCAAGAAGGCCAGGUAUAGAACCAUCCAGCCUGUGUUGCCGGGAGGAGGAGGAAAGACAUGUGUUGGGAACUCAGUGCUUUUUUAUUUAAAAUAAUAAUGUGUGAGAGAGAUAC
rnacentral:sRNA from 1 species